rnacentral:lncRNA from 1 species
AUGCCAGUAGGUCUAGCUCUGGAGGGUUCAGCGCCCGAGGCAAAUAGAACUGGAAGGAAGGUGAACUUCACUCAGCUGGCGGUGAUCAGCAUGGCGAGUCUGAAAGUCUUCCUGCAAAGGACCAUGACGCUGAUGAUGCCCAAAGCAGGCUGUGAAGAACAAACCCCACAACUGGUUGUUUAUAGAAGGCCACUGUUCUGUGAAAUGUGCCAUGCCAUCUCGACCUCCACAUGAGAGACAUAAUCUUUAAGGAUCACUCCACAGGUUAGGAGCAGCAGAUCACCAUGCAGGAUCCGAGGCUCUGUGGGCAGCGUGGCUGGUUUCUGCAGGGUGCAGAGAGCAACAGCACCACAGGCCUCUGGUUCUGGACACCCUGGGGCUGUUGGGAACUGAGGGUCUCCUCCCCUGUGACCUGAAUGAAAUUCGACUUGGGACAAUAGGGCAUUUAUGAUUACUGGCAGGAGAUUUUCCUAUGAACCCCAGGGUGAAGUUUCUGUGUGCAGCACCUCUUAAUGGCCCAGAGCAGUUGUGAAAAUCAGUAUGAAUCCAAAAUGUAAAAGAAGAC